UAGGGAAUCUUCGGCAAUGGACGAAAGUCUGACCGAGCAACGCCGCGUGAGUGAAGAAGGUUUUCGGAUCGUAAAACUCUGUUGUUAGAGAAGAACAAGGACGUUAGUAACUGAACGUCCCCUGACGGUAUCAAACCAGAAAGCCACGGCUAACUACGUGCCAGCAGCCGCGGUAAUACGUAGGUGGCAAGCGUUGUCCGGAUUUAUUGGGCGUAAAGCGAGCGCAGGCGGUUUCUUAAGUCUGAUGUGAAAGCCCCCGGCUCAACCGGGGAGGGUCAUUGGAAACUGGGAGACUUGAGUGCAGAAGAGGGGAGUGGAAUUCCAUGUGUAGCGGUGAAAUGCGUAGAUAUAUGGAGGAACACCAGUGGCGAAGGCGGCUCUCUGGUCUGUAACUGACGCUGAGGCUCGAAAGCGUGGGGAGCAAACAGG
rnacentral:rRNA from 1 species